rnacentral:lncRNA from 1 species
UAUGUUGUGUCAACGCUUCCGUUGUGAUCUACAAGGGUACGUAGAUCAGAUUCUCCCCCUCGUUGCUAUGCAUCACCAUGAUCUUGCGUGUGCGUAGGAAAAUUUUGAAAUUACUACGUUCCCCAACACCUAUUCCCCCGAGGGCCCCGAUCGCAAGUCGCAACGCAGAUGUAGAUUGCUCUCUGCCAUGCGGCCGGCUGUUCUUCCUCUAGGUCCCCGGUCCCGUUGUGUUAUGCCCCGUCCGUGAGAUGCCUCUCAUGUGCAAGACGAAGCCACCCCACUUAUAAGGUCAUCCCUAACCUCCUCUUUCUAGUUGGUCACGUUCAUAUGGUGCAACAGCAGUCAGAUCUUAGAAGGUUUCGCAUAUGAUGCAGUACAAAAUUUUAAUUUUAUGUGCCCGUUGCUCUAUUUCUUACUUCAGUCUAGACUUUGUCGGCACAACACCAAUCGCCUUAUCUAUUGAAAAAGUUGCCUGUUAUGUGUUCGAUUGUCGUUCUUUGCAUUCUCUCUCCAAAUCAUCAUGAUUGCAAAUUUAACUUAAAAAUUGGAAGAAGGUCUCAGCUAUACACACAUAACUUCAAUCCAAAAAGAAAUGAGACUCAGACUCCCGUAGUCGUCGGGUAGGUAAAUGAUCUUUUAUUAUUGCAAAUGAAGCUUUUAAACUUUAAACAUUUCAUCUUGAUGUUUGCCCUCUAUCAGGUAUUCGAUUUGUCUAAUUAAGUAAAGGAAUACACUACUUACAAUUUUUGUUUUAUUUUGAAACAAUAGACAAUAAUAAGUUAGGUAAAGGAAUGAAUCUAAAAAGAAAUGAGAUUAUUAUUUUGAUCUUUAUAGUAGGGGCCCCGGGUUGUAAUUUCGCCCUGGGCCCUCGAAAUAUCAGGACCGGCCCUGAUUGAUGUCUCUAUAGUCUGAAACUCAAUGCGACCAUAAUUAAUUUCCUUCUACCAAAUUCCUUUCAUUCCCAUCUAUAAAAAGUUUCUUUUUAUGCACGUUCAGUGCUCAAUUCAAGUAGGCUCACCAAGGGAUACCUAAUUUUUUUGACAUUUUGGUGCAAAGUAGCUUAAUUUGCCUCUCCUACUGUUUUCUUCAGAAUUAGAUGUUGAAAAUGGUGUUGGAACUCUAUUUGAUUUUUGCUGCAUUCUUAGUUGUUAUUAUUGAUCAACAACGAAAGAGUUGAUAAAAUUCAAAUUUAGUUCUCAAUUCUUUUCGGUUCAUUUAAUUAUAAAGAUAUGUAUUCCUAGGUCGACGGUGGUCCAACCGCACCCUUCUUUAAAACAAUAGGGUUUGGAGUCCCAUGUGUUACAAAUUUCAUACCAUUUAAACGAAACAUAGAAAAGAACAAGCUAUGUUUAUCUAUGACAUUAAGCAACAACCAAUGUUUAUCUGCCGCAUUUAUAAAAAGAAAUCUUUAGCUACAGCAUUAAAACUAACCCAAUCUUUAGCUACAACAGUUAAGGCUUCCCUAUCUUUCGCUACAACAUUUAAAAUUAGACAUGACAUUUAAGACUUCCCUAUCUUUAGCUACAACAUUUAAGACUAGACGAUAAAGUCACUAGCUAUGUUUGGCAAUGUAAAAAUACAACAAUUUGGAUAACCCAUUCAAUUAGUGUUUGUUACUGAUGAGUAAUUACAAUACUAGUUACAGUUCUGCUAUAUAUAUGGACCAGGGCAAGUAAUGGAUACAUAUAAAAACCCAGUGAAUUUCUCACACAAUGGGGAAGCACAUCAAGCACAAUGCCCAACUUGUUGUCUUGCUUUCCAUGGUUCUUCUAAGUUGCCUGGUUUCUUCAGUCGUACAAGGUAAUGAACAAUUGUAAAUAAUUAUUUCAUGAAAUUUCAGUGUUCAUCCUUAUGUUUAAAGUUUGUUUUGUCAACCUUGAGUACUCACCCCUUGGAAAGAUCUAGAGUGGUUUUCUACAUAGGCAUUAUCUACAUGUUCAUAUACAAAAUGAAAUUACCUUCAUGUUGAGAUGAUAUAAAUCUAUUUGUUUUUCACUUCAGGACAGAGCAUUGACGACAAGGGGAGCAGCACAACGACUAUACGACCUAACGAUGACCCCGACUGUGUGAGAGAGACGAAGUUGAAGUGGCCGCGGAAACGACAGUACUGCUGCAACUAUUUUGCAUAUACUGGUCCAUGCUACGAUGACUAUACUGUCUGCAAAGCCCAUUGCCCGUGAUUCAACACAAUUCCCAUGAAUAGUUUUCAUGUAAUAAGGAAUAGAUGAUAUGCAAUAAGUUUUCCUAUCAAUAUUUACUUUUCCAAUUGCUUAAGUGAAUAAAGAUAUGAUUUCCAAAAUUAUUAUGGUGCUUGUACUUAUCCCUAUCAACUGUUUUAUCAAAAAUACAUUUUUUAUGCAACAGAGACACACCGCUGGCACUAAAGUGCAACGUAACAAAGGGUGGCCAGGAUGGUGGCCUAGAAUUUUUUCCACGGGCUCACUUGUGUGUACUUGAGCCCAAGAAAGACCAAAAUAGGAUUAUUUUUGCACAGAUAAAGAUGUGAUUUCUAAAUUAUUAUUAUCCUUG